AGACAGGAACAAGAAGAAGUUACAGACAUAAAAACCACAGCAAGAAUCAUUUAUCUUGUAUCAGCACAGAGGACACGGAUAAGGACAGUGCAGAGAAACAACACACAUUUACAUUUAAGUCACAAGAAUGGAACAGCUCAUAGUUUUCUGUCAGGCAGUUUUUCGAUGUGAACAUCUGAAUGAAAAGGACACGCUGAAAGAGGACCUGGGAGGAACUUCAUGACUGUGUCCACAAUACUUUCUUCUUCAUCCUCAUCAUCACCGCAGCCGGCAGGCACGGCUUUCUUUGGGCGAGUGAGACUGCCUUCAGACGCCUGCUCCAUAGCAGCCUGAGCCUCAGCCUCCUUCUCCUCCUUCUUCUUUAUACCAUACUAAACAUCCAACAGACAGAAAUUAGAGCAGUUUGAAUCUAAAUUCCUUCAUGCUGGUGAAAUGUAAUAUGGCUUACACCAGGGGUUCUCAGUUUUUUUGCAGACAGGGAUCCCUUUAACUCUGAAAUAAUUUAGUAAACCGAUUUAUUUUAUGAACAUAAUCCAACUAUUCAAUUAUUAGACUCAUUAUUUAAAUGUAUACAGUAAUUUAUUGGUGCCAAACUUUCUACCAGCUGAACACAUUAGGUCUAAGUUGAAAUUAUUAAUAGGCUAGUAGUUUUUAAGUUGUUGAGUUUUGGAUUAAACUCAUUUGAUUCGAGUUACAAGUCAAACAGGCUAAUAUCUAUAAUAACUCAAUAAUACAUUUAAUAGCUUUAAUGACGGUGAGUUGUACUUUCUAUGACUGCUAAAAAAAAAAACCUCACAGACCCCUGAUGGUCUCUGGACCCCCCUUUAUGAUGAUGGCUUAAACAACCAAUGUAUAACUUGGCAAAUUCAUGUCCAUAACUGUAAAUGCAUGACUUCAUGCCUACAACUGUAAGCCCAUGACUCUAAGUCCAUGACCAAAGCCUGUGACUGUAUGUCCAUGACUAUAAGCUCAUGAUGUUGGCAGACUGCCACUUGGCAAAGCUGCCCAAUUCCUCCACUGUUCUCACAAUUAGCUUAGUGGUUCACAGAAAUUAAUUUAUACUACAUGCAUUUGUUAAUUUUAAAUAAAUGUUCUGAUUAAAAUGCUAUGCCAAGUAUUGGCAGGGAAGGCCACUUCAUUAUACAUGUGUUUUAGAUGACAAAUGGUCCACUUGCUCUCUGAGAGUCAGUGGCUCAAAAUGAAACCUAAUUUAUUUUGGCUUGCCUUAGGUUUUAGUGUUAUUACCUUUGGGGGAUUUUGUGUGCAUAGAUUUGUGUAUAUAAUAUCAUAACUGGGAUAAAACAUUUAGAGAUGACUCUUAGGGAUAAAACAUUUAGAGAUGAAUUUAUUUACUUUGCUUGUUUUGAGACAUUAUAAUAUAUUGUAUAUUAUAUUUUGCUUACAUACAACAUAUAGAACUGUAAGGCAGGAGAUAGGGACAAACAUUUUUAUCAAACAUUUUUAUCUAUUGUGCCUAGUAUUUGAUGUUUUUAAUGUUUUUAAUUAAAUUAUACCUUCUGAAACUGUUGUAUAGCAGCAACUGCUGUCCUUCCUGAUUGAUGUCUGAUUUCAUUCCACCCAAGUGAAAAAUAAACAUGACUCUCCCGUGGUACACAUAACUGUAUAUUAAAGACACACACCUUUUCUGUCAAUGACUAGUAUUUAAUAAAAUUUUGUUUGUUCAA